UAAUAGUGUAUAUUAAAGUUGUUGCAGUUAAAAAGCUCGUAGUUGUAUGUUGGUGCCGAACAAGCGGUCAGCUUCGGUUGUACUGCUUUCUCGGCUCCUUCCUUCUGUGGACUGCGUCGCACUUAAUUGUGUGGCGUCUGGACGCAGAUCGUUUACUGUGAAAAAAUUAGAGUGUUCAAAGCAGGCCGUACGCUUGAAUACAUUAGCAUGGAAUAAUGGAAUAGGACGUCGGGCCUAUUUUGUUGGUUCUAGGACCGUCUUAAUGAUUAAUAGGGACAGUUGGGGCCGUUCAUAUUCCGUAGUCAGAGGUGAAAUUCUUGGAUUUACGGAAGAUGAACUACUGCGAAAGCAUUCGGCAAGGAUGUUUUCGUUAA
rnacentral:rRNA from 1 species